rnacentral:lncRNA from 1 species
GCCCAAAAACGUCACUCAUACGCUUCCAAUAAUCCACGGACUAAGAUUUUGUUAUAUAUUGUCGCAAAGAUUUCACUAAUUUCAUCUAUUUCCUUAUUUCGAGAUAAAGCAAAGAGCAAACCGAGGACUCAUUUCUUACUGGUACACGUCCAAAAAUCAACAUGCAGACCAAAAGUGUAGAAAGUCUUCCAAAUUUUGGAAGACUAACGUUCUAUUGAAAAAUGUGGUGAUAACAAAGGAUAAUGGAAUAACCAAACAGCCGAAAUUGCUUGACUGCAAUACUUCAAAUUUUUGAAACAGACCUUAUCGUGCCUAUUCUAUGCCGUUAAUUUCCUAAUGAAAAGCUAGAGAACAAAAAGCAUAUUAACAUAAAUUUCUAGGCUUCUUUGAGAACAUAGGCGGACUCAGAUUUCAUGAUUCAACC